GAUGAAGAACGCAGCGAAAUGCGAUACUUGGUGUGAAUUGCAGAAUCCCGUGAACCAUCGAGUCUUUGAACGCAAGUUGCGCCCGAAGCCAUUAGGCCGAGGGCACGCCUGCCUGGGCGUCACACGUCGUUGCCCCCCCAUCUACUCCUUCGGGAUUGCGGGGGGCGGAUGAUGGCCUCCCGUGCGCCUCGCCGCGCGGUUGGCAUAAAUGCCAAGUCCUCGGCGACGCACGCCACGACAAUCGGUGGUUGCGAAACCUCGGUUGCCCGUCGUGUGCGGUCGUCGCGCAUCGAGGGCUCGAAAAAAUUGCCGGGUUCCGGCUCGGCUUUCAACGCGACCCAGGUCAGGCGGGGUUACCCGCUGAAUUUAAGCAUAUCAAUAAGCGGAGGA
rnacentral:misc_RNA from 1 species